UACGUAGGGGGCAAGCGUUGUCCGGAUUUAUUGGGCGUAAAGAGCGUGUAGGCGGCUUUACAGGUCCGUUGUGAAAACUCGAGGCUCAACCUCGAGACGCCGGUGGAAACCGUAAAGCUAGAGUCCGGAAGAGGAGAGUGGAAUUCCUGGUGUAGCGGUGAAAUGCGUAGAUAUCAGGAGGAACACCGGUGGUGUAGACGGCUCACUGGACCGUAACUGACGCUGAGACACGAAAGCGUGGGUAGCAAACAGG
rnacentral:rRNA from 1 species